GAAACAAAAAGUUUUGAGUUUAACUGAAAUAAAGCAGGACGUCACCACUUUAACAUAUGCUUUGAAAACCGGCUUUUAUGGUUGCGUUUUUAACUUUCAGUUUUUGUGUUAGCAAUGCUUUUAGUGGUCCAUUUUGAUUCAUUGUAAUAACUUAUGAGAGUUAGAAGUGUAAGAGAACCUCCAUUCAUACUCGCUAUUUUUAGUUAAAUUUUAGCUAAAAAGGAUAAGAGCUUCCUGAAAAAUUUAUGCUCCAACCAUACUUUCUAAUUUAGCAAGUCAAAACAAAUAUAAACCAAUAGAAAUAAGGUUUUUUAUUUAGAGCAUCUCCAAUGAGCUUCUUAAAUGAGCUCCUAACUAUAAUUUAGUGAGGAUUUAAAAUAAAAUAAAAAAAUCAGCUCCAAUCAUUCUCCUUAUCCACCUCCUAAGAUAGGAUUCAUCGAGAAGUUGCUAAAUAUAGGGUGCAAGAAAGGAGCUCCUAGUGACUCUCUAUAGUUAAUGUUUAUGAGAAACAUGACACGAAUGCUAAGUUUAAUUAUGACCUCUAAAAUAGAGAGUAUGGUUGGACUGUUGGAGUAAAAAAUUUUUUAGAGAGCUUCUAAAAUAACUUUUUGAUAGUUUUAACUAAAAUUUGCUAUAAAAUAAAGAGCAUGAUUGGAUGCUAGUUAUCAAAACAAUCAUAACUAAUGCUAGGAGCCCUUGAGAGCUCAUUCCUCACUCCCAAAAUUUAGGAGCACCUAGCAGUUUUGGUAUCGUAGGAAAAUAAUAGGGAGUGUGAUUGGAGAUGAAAUUUCCAAAUCUACCCUAUACUUUAGUUAGGAGCUCAUUUAGGGAGCACUGGAUAUGCUUUAAUUACAAUACAUUGUGACUUUAAUUGUACCGGGAUAUUAACGGUAGAUGAAAGUCAUCAAGGUACAUAAUUUGUUUUUUUUUUUUCACUUGUUUAUUUUAUGUUGCAUUUGGUACAAUGUGCUAUUAUAGAUUUUCUAAAAAUAUUAGACCAUGUGACAUAAGCUUUGUUAUUUUUGAGCAAUUCCUACUAGUUUUAUGAGGUGGUAUAAUGUAAGUGGUAGGUUUUAUCUUAUUUUCAAGUUUAUUAUUUCUAAUAAACCAACAUCAAUAAAAAUGAUAAAAAGCAUUUACUAAUCAAUUCAAAAUAGACUUGAAGUUGCUGUCAAAUUUGACAGUGACCAUCUUUCAUGUCAAUUCAUGUCAUGCCACAUAAGAAUUGGUAUUUCAGUUGAAAAACAAUAA
rnacentral:lncRNA from 1 species